AUGACAGGUUCCCGGGCCCUGCUCUCAGCCUGCACAUGUCCCAUGGGCCCCACAGUGGAGCUUUCUGGUGGUUUGACCCCUGGAACCGGAGUUCCUGGAGGCCUCAGCAGCCAACAAAAUGGUAAGGCCCUGGGUGAGCAGGAGGAAGGGCAAGAAAGAGAAGGGAAGGCCCAGACAGCCUGGGGGUGGGGGUGUCUCAGGCCAAAACCUGGGAACAUGAGCCUUUCUCAGCAAAGUUCAGGUUCAAAAGUUCAAGCCUGCCACUCUCCAGAAGGCAAAACAGAGGCCACAGACCCUGCAGCCGCUGUGGCCGACCCCCUCCCUGCCCCCGAUUCUGACAAUUGCAGACGCUGCCUCUUUUCAGAGAGGGCUGGAGCAGGGGUGGCUAUCAGGACAAUUCUCCUCCUGCCAUUCCACAAAACGUUAGCUACUGAAACGGCGCGAGGAUCUUUUCUGUCUGUGAAAUUCCGAAAGUAACCUUGGCUCGCCACGUCUGUCUGCCGUUCCCCCUGAGCACACUCACCAGGGCCGCACUUCAGGCCUUUAGAAUGAAACACAAGGCAGCUUUGUCAGUGCUCAUGCUUGGUCACCAUCGGCUGGGCACCUGCUGUGCACUGACACGGUUCUAGAACCUGGGGAUAUAGCAGUCAACAGCCAGUGGUCCCUGCCCUGUGGAGCUUGUGAUUUAAUGACCGGUCCUGUUGCUUCCACAGGGUGCAGAGACCUCGUUGUGGGGGUGCCCCAUGCGGAGCACUGGGAGGUGUUCUUAGAGGGGGUCCAGUCCUUUAUGUGCAUCCCCAGGGCUCGUCUAAUUAAGACGCAGGUCGUCCUUCUGUGGCCGGGGUGGGGAGUCUGCAUUUCCCCUUGCUGUCAGUGCCGCUGGUGCGCAGACCACACCUACAGCACCCCCGCCCCUGACCUUGGUCCAUGGGGAGGUCCUCCCCAGGGUGGCAAGGGCACGCUGGCCUCGAGGAGGCUUCCUGAAGUCUGGUCUGAGCAUAGGACCUGAGAGCAUGGAGACCCUGUUUCUCCACACCCUGAAGCAGCGUGUGUGCCCCUCUGAGGUGCCUGUGUGUCCUGUGGGCCGAGGUUUCAGAGAUUUUCCAGAAAGCCUUCAGGGCUUGGAGUGACCAAUCGCCUCCAUGGGCCAGCCAGGCUGCCUCCCAGGCUCACCCCUCAGGAACCCGCUUACAUUCCAAAGGAAGGAGGUCUUUCUGCCCAAGGCAUUUAUUGCUGAGCAAUUUGUAACUAAUUAGCCAGUGUGCAGUGAUUAGACGCUUGCAUAAUAAUUGCAGGUAAUUGCCUCUUGACACCGCGCGAGCAUCCACUGACCAGCUCAGAAUGUCUUUUCCAAUUAGCUCAACUACUCCGGAGGCCCUUGGAGGGAGGGAGCAAGCGGCUCCAUCCCCGGUCUCUCUGACACUUUCGGGUGAAGUCCUGCCUGGGGGAUCAUCGAGUGGGUGCCAGGCUCUGACAG
rnacentral:lncRNA from 1 species